CAACUAUUUUACAAAUAAAAUUACCUAAAUAGUGGUUGCUAGUGGGGAAGAAAUGCAGAAAGGGGAGAGGUUUGACGGCAAGGAGGAUAGCUGGAUACGUUUUAUGCAUUCUAUUUUCUUUUCUUUUUAAGAAACUAAUAAAAUAAGGUAAUUUUAUUUAUAACAUAGUAGACAAGUCAGUAGGUUAACUUGAAAACUUUUAAUUUUUUAUGAUAGUGACUUUUAUGAAAUUAAAUUGAAGAUUAGCAAGUUUUAUGAAAGAAAUUAAAGUUUAAUGACUUUUAUGAAAAUGUUUAUAAAGUUGAGUGACGGCGUAUGAUAUUUA
rnacentral:misc_RNA from 1 species